rnacentral:rRNA from 1 species
UACGGAGGGUGCAAGCGUUAUCCGGAUUCACUGGGUUUAAAGGGUGCGUAGGUGGAGUGGUAAGUCAGUGGUGAAAUCUCCAAGCUUAACUUGGAAACUGCCGUUGAUACUAUCAUUCUUGAAUAUCGUGGAGGUAAGCGGAAUAUGUCAUGUAGCGGUGAAAUGCUUAGAUAUGACAUAGAACACCGAUUGCGAAGGCAGCUUGCUACACGAUCAUUGACACUGAGGCACGCAAGCGUGGGGAUCAAACAGG